rnacentral:rRNA from 1 species
AACUAUAACGGUCCUAAGGUAGCGAAAUUCCUUGUCAGGUAAGUUCUGACCCGCACGAAAGGCGUAAUGAUGUGGGCGCUGUCUCGGCAGCAGACUCGGUGAAAUCUUAGUACCUGUGAAGAUGCAGGUUACCCGCAACUAGACGGAAAGACCCCAUGGAGCUUUACUAUAACUUAAUAUUGAGUUUUGAUUUAGUAUGUACAGGAUAGGUAGGAGACUUUGAAGUGAGAACGCUAGUUUUCAUGGAGUCGAUGUUGGGAUACUACUCUUAUUAACUCGAAAUUCUAACCUGCAGGUUACAUCAACCUGGGGAACAGUGUUAGGUGGGUAGUUUGACUGGGGCGGUCGCCUCCCAAAAUGUAACGGAGGCGCUCAAAGGUACUCUCAGGUUGGUUGGAAAUCAACUGUCGAGCGUAAUUGCAGAAGAGUGCUUGACUGCAAGACUUACAAGUCGAGCAGGGACGAAAGUCGGAAAUAGUGAUCCUGCGGUUCAGUAUGGAAUGGCCGUGGCUUAACGGAUAAAAGCUACCCUGGGGAUAACAGGCUGAUCUCCCCCAAGAGUUCACAUCGACGGGGAGGUUUGGCACCUCGAUGUCGGCUCAUCGCAUCCUGGAGCUGAAUUCGGUUCCAAGGGUUGGGCUGUCCGCCCAUUAAAGCGGUACGCGAGCUGGGUUCAAAACGUCGUGAGACAGUUUGGUCCCUAUCUGUUGUGGGCGUUGGAAUUUUGAGGAGCGCUGUCCCUAGUACGAGAGGACCAGGAUGGACGUACCUAUGGUGCACCAAUUGUUUCGCCAGAAGCAUAGUUGGAUAGCUAAGUACGGAUCGGAUAAACGCUGAAGGCAUCUAAGCGUGAAACCGACUCCAAGAUGAGAAUUCCCAUUCACUUGAUGAAGUAAGACCCCUUAUAGACUAUGAGGUUGAUAGGUUAAAGAUGGAAGUGUAGCAAUACAUUGAGUUGAUUAAUACUAAUAGGUCGAGGAUUUUAUCAU